rnacentral:rRNA from 1 species
AGUGAACGCUGGCGGCGUGCUUAACACAUGCAAGUCGAACGAGAACGGAAUAUAGCUUGCUAUAUUUGUCAGCUAAGUGGCGCACGGGUGAGUAAUAUAUAGAUAACCUGCCCUUAAGAAAGGAAUAACAGUUGGAAACGACUGCUAAUGCCCUAUAUGCCUUUACUACAUAAGUAUGCAAGGGAAACGCUUUAGUGCUUAAGGAUGGGUCUGUAUGGUAUCAGCUUGUUGGUGAGGUAAUGGCUCACCAAGGCUAUGACGCCUAACUGGUUUGAGAGGAUGAUCAGUCACACUGGAACUGAGACACGGUCCAGACUCCUACGGGAGGCAGCAGUGGGGAAUAUUGCACAAUGGACGAAAGUCUGAUGCAGCAACGCCGCGUGGAGGAUGACACAUUUCGGUGCGUAAACUCCUUUUAUAUAGGAAGAUAAUGACGGUACUAUAUGAAUAAGCACCGGCUAACUCCGUGCCAGCAGCCGCCGCUGUAA